rnacentral:rRNA from 1 species
GACGAACGCUGGCGGCGUGCCUAAUACAUGCAAGUUGAGCGCUGAAGGUUGGUACUUGUACCAACUGGAUGAGCAGCGAACGGGUGAGUAACGCGUGGGGAAUCUGCCUUUGAGCGGGGGACAACAUUUGGAAACGAAUGCUAAUACCGCAUAAAAACUUUAAACACAAGUUUUAAGUUUGAAAGAUGCAAUUGCAUCACUCAAAGAUGAUCCCGCGUUGUAUUAGCUAGUUGGUGAGGUAAAGGCUCACCACGGCGAUGAUACAUAGCCGACCUGAGAGGGUGGUCGACAACAUUGGGACUAGGACAGGACCCAAAGUCCUACGGAAGAAAACAGAGGGAAUCUUCCGACAGCGAACUAAGGUCAACCCGAGGAACACGGCAGAAGUGAAGAGGGUUUUGGGAUCGAAAAGCACUGUUGUAAGGAAAAAUAGUAGGUUGAAGUGAAAAGCUAAGCAAGUAACGGAAAUAACCAGAAAGGGAACGACAAACUUCAU